GUCCCUGUACGUGGUUCCUCAUUGGAUGGAAUGGAUUCACUCUUGUCCAUUGUGCAGAUGCCAAGGGGUGUUCCAGUCGCAACUGUAGCAAUAAACAAUGCUACAAAUGCUGGUUUGUUGGCUGUAAGGAUGUUGGGAGUUGGUGAUUCCGACCUAUUAGCAAGAAUGAGCCAGUAUCAAGAAGACACCAGGGAUGAAGUAUUAAAAAAGGCUGAGAAGCUACAACGUGAUGGAUGGGAAUCUUAUUUGAAUCCUUGAGUACAAUUUCACCACUUUCUGUAUUCCUUGAUUUUUUGAACUUAAUAACAUGCAUAGAAGAAUCUGAUAUCAAAAGAGGACUAAGAGUCUACAUGUUGGGUACAACAACCUGUCCUAACCAAGUGUGAUCGGUACGGGAGCAGAUUGUAUUGGGGUGCAAUUAGAAAGUCCGUAGCAGAUUGGAAAGGACAGAAAGGGGACGUGGAUCAAGUUUGGAAUUGAUC
rnacentral:misc_RNA from 1 species